rnacentral:lncRNA from 1 species
UUCAAAAAACCAGCUCUUGGAUUUAUUGAUUUUUUGAAGGGUUUUUCGUGUCUCAAUCUCCUUCAGCUCAGCUCUGAUCUUAGUUAUUUCUUGUCUUCUGCUGGGUUUUGAGUUUUUUUGAUCUUGCUCUUCUAGCUCUUUCAAUUUUGACAAUAGGGUGUCAAUUUUGGAUCUCUCCAUUCUCCUCAUAUGGGCACUUAUUGCUAUAUACUUUCCUCUAGAGACUGCUUUAAAUGUGUCCCAGAGGUUCUGGCACGUUGUGUCUUCAUUCUCAUUGGUUUCGAAGAACUACUUUAUUACAGAGGAAUGAGGCAAGAAUGAAUGAGCUAUGUGUCAGUGUCUAAAGCUAAAUUGCAAAUUCAGUGUUUAACUCAUGAGGUUCUCACAAUAGUAGUAUUACAUGAGUGAGAACAAUAGUUCUGAUCCUAUAUUACAUAUGAGGAAUCCAAGGACAUAAAGGUUAGAUGUGAGGGGCUGAAACUCAGCCUUGCAGAACUUCAGAGUUUGAGAGCCAAUAGAUUAAAACAAGCCCACAAAUUAAAUAGAGGAGUUGUAGCCAGAAAGGUGGGGAUUUUCUGGGAAAUCAGAAAGUAAAACAGAGUUGUCCCUGAAACCAAAGGAAAAAAAAAUAUUGGAACAACAGUGCUGAAUUCUGCUGAGAAGAGGUAUAUCUUGAAAAAAAAAAAGUCCAAAGACUUAAAGACAUGAAUGUUAUUGGUGAUUUCUGCAAUGGCCAUUGCAGGGGUGUUGUGGGGAGAAAACCAUAUUUAACUAUAUUGAAUGUGAGGAGGGCAUGAGGAAGACAUUAGGCUUCCUUGCUGUCUCUUAAGCAAGCCCGGCAUACCCCUGCCUUGUGGCACCUAUACAGACCAUCUCCUCUGCCUGGAACACUCUUUCACUAGAUAUUUCUAUUUCUUGCCCCAACACUUCCUUCUUUUCCCUCCCUAAUAUCACCUUUUCAGUGAGGCCUUCCCUGACUAGUUAUUGAAAAUUACACCCAGUGGGGAUAGGGAGAUAUUGGUUAAAGAGCUCAAAGUCUCAGCUAAACAAGAUGAGUAAGUUCUGGAGAUCUACGGUAUAGCAUGGUGAGUGUAAUUAAUAAUAACAUAUUGUACAGUUGUCUCUUGAUAUCUAGGGUAGACUAGUUCCAGGACACCCUGGAGGCAACAAAAUCAGCAGACACUCAACCACCUCAUGUAAAAUGACUUUGCUUAUAACCUACACACAUCCUUCCAUGUAGCUUCC